rnacentral:misc_RNA from 1 species
GGAACUGUUCUCGAAAGGAAUCUGGAUAAACCACUUAAAAAUUAUAGAAUUAGCAUGAUACACAGGAAAUAACACCUCCAGAAUUUAUGUAAAAAAUUAAUUAGCACACUAGGAACUCAAGGGAUAAAACACAAAUAUAAUACAAUUCAGUGCAUAACUACUUAGUUUAUCAGGAAAUUUUACUUCACAUCGAAUGAACAUGCAGUAUUUGUUUUUGGUAAACAGCCAUCUCAAACUUUUUCUUUGCUAGUAUGUAGUGUUAAGUUGGCAGCUCAUAUUUUCGAAGGAUCAUACAAUAAAAGCUCUAGGCAGAAGGAGGGUUUCACAGAGAACCCUCCAGUUAAGUUUGUGGUUUAUAUUUUUC